UGACCGAAAUUGCGUGUGUUUUAUUUGAUACCGUGAUUUUAAAAAUAGGCCAUACGGACAGCCGGGUCAAACGCCGA
rnacentral:sRNA from 12 species